rnacentral:rRNA from 1 species
UGGUGGAGUGAUUUGUCUGGUUAAUUCCGUUAACGAACGAGACCUCAGCCUGAUUAGUUAGCACAGUGUCAUCCUUACGGAUAGUACUUGCUUCCUAGAGGGACUAUCGGUUUCCAACCGAUGGAAGUAUGAGGCAAUAACA